GAUGAACGCUAGCGGCAGGCUUAAUACAUGCAAGUCGAGGGGGAUCAGCUGGGUAGCAAUACUCGGCUGUGAGACCGGCAAACGGGUGCGGAACACGUACACAACCUCCCAAUAAGUGGGGAAUAGCCCAGAGAAAUUUGGAUUAAUACCCCGUAACAUAACGAUGUGGCAUCACAUUGUUAUUAUAGAUUUUUCGCUUAUUGAUGGGUGUGCGGCUGAUUAGAUAGUUGGCGGGGUAACGGCCCACCAAGUCUACGAUCAGUAGCUGAUGUGAGAGCAUGAUCAGCCACACGGGCACUGAGACACGGGCCCGACUCCUACGGGAGGCAGCAGUAAGGAAUAUUGGACAAUGGACGCAAGUCUGAUCCAGCCAUGCCGCGUGAAGGAUUAAGGUCCUCUGGAUUGUAAACUUCUUUUAUAAGGGACGAAAAAAGGCUUUUCUAAGUCGUCUGACGGUACCUUAUGAAUAAGCACCGGCUAACUCCGUGCCAGCCGCCGCGGUAACAC
rnacentral:rRNA from 1 species